AGGACGAACGCUGGCGGCGUGCUUAACACAUGCAAGUCGAACGCGUCUUAUUCCUUCGGGAGUAAGGUGAGUGGCGAACGGGUGAGUAACACGUGAGCAACCUGCCCUUGACCCUGGAAUAACAGCUGGAAACAGCUGCUAAUACCGGAUACGACCUCCGAUGGCAUCAUCUGGAGGUGGAAAGCUCCGACGGUCAAGGAUGGGCUCGCGGCCUAUCAGCUUGUUGGUGAGGUAACGGCUCACCAAGGCUUCGACGGGUA
rnacentral:rRNA from 1 species